UACGCGACACCCUGCAUCAACCGCGGAAAACUGGCCUCUUGUCGUCACAACUCCUCAGUACGUUCCACGGGCGAAUAUUACGUACAGAAAUGUAUAUACGUUCAUCCAUCCACUACAGGUCCUGAAAAAAAGAAUAUAUGCUUUGGCAAAGAUAACUGCAAACUAUUUAUUUAUUCCGUAAAGACAUACGAGUGCAAGUAAAGAAAAAUACAAGUGUCAGAAAAGUGGUGUAAAUUAACAGUGGAUUAUUUACAUAGUGACAAUACCUGUGGUGCAACACCUCUCAUUCCACCAGAACUUUUCAUCAUGGUGGGACCCGCUGAUACAGGUGAAUUGGUUCGAUCUUUAGUACGUAUACCAGGGAGUGGCUAUGAUAAAUCAGCUGGAUCGGCUUGCCUUGACCUUGCCAGGGUCUCCACUCUGGCUGCAUCCGUUCCUGUUCCACAGACACUACCACCAGCACUCGUGUCCCAGAAGCAACCGCCUCCCCAGAAUGUUACGGAUCAAACGAAGUUAGGAAGCAAGACCGGGGCAGCAAUAGGGGCUCUUCCCAAAACACUGCCUGUAGUUCCUAGCAGCAGAGGUCGCAAGCGGUCGUGUGCAGAAGAGGCUGCGACUGGCUCCGCACGUAGUAGUGCAGCAUCGUCCCAAUCUUCUGGCCAGAGUCAACCUGUGAAAAGAACCCGGAUUGUUUAUAUGACAGCGGAACAGUUGGCAAGAUGCCCUAAUGUUUCGACUGUUAAUACCCCAUCGGGUCCAAUAUUCUGUAUGUCUUUACAGUCAACCAGUUCUAAUUCCCCUGCUCCUUCCAUCUCGCAAGACAGCCUGUCACAGCUUCUGAAUGAAAGGAAUAGCUUGAGGCAACAGAACGUGCAACUACAGCAGCGACUGGCGCUCUACCUGCACAUCUUCAGAAACAGGAAUAGGUUAACCUCAGUGGCCGAAGGAUUAGGUGUGAAAAUACCCUAAAGAUUUUGUUCCUGUGACUUUUCUUUACUCCUUCAUGGGUUAUUCCUGUGAUGAGGGUCUUAGAUUGGCCACCUCCAUGGGUUGUUCCUAUGUUGGUGUUCUCUCUCUCUCUCUCUCAACCUUCAUGGGUUGUUCCUAUGUUGGUGUCCUCUCUCUCUCUCCACCUCCAUGGGUUAUUCCCGUGUUGGUGUUCCUUCUCCACCUCCAUGGGUUAUUCCCGUGUUGGUGUUCCUUGUCCGCCUCCAUGGGUUAUUCCCGUGUUGGUGUCCCUUCUCCACCUCCAUGGGUUGUUCCCGUGUUGGUGUUCCUUCUCCACCUCCAUGGGUUAUUCCCGUGUUGGUGUUCCUUCUCCACCUCCUUGGGUUAUUCCCGUGUUGGUGUUCAUUCUCCGCCUCCAUGGGUUAUUCCCGUGUUGGUGUUCCUUCUCCGCCUCCAUGGGUUAUUCCCGCGUUGGUGUUCCUUGUCCGCCUCCAUGGGUUAUUCCCGCGUUGGCGUUAUAGAGUAAUAGGAUCCACCUUUGUGAUAUUCAGCUUUUUUUAUAAUUAUUAUUAUUUUACCCAUUCUAUUUAUAUAUGUAUAUAUAUGUGUGUAAAGCAUUUAUUAUUAUUAUUAUUGUUAUUGUUAUUAUUAUUAUUAUUAUUAUUGUUAUUAUUAUUAUUUUACCCAUUUCAUUUUAUGAUUUUUUUUUUUUUUUUUUUUAUGUGUGAUGCAGUUUUGUGGAAAUAUUUAUUUUUUUUAUUUUUAUUUUUCCUUUUUUUCAUUCAUUGUUGCAACUGUUUAGUUUCAUAACUAUUGUUGCAUAUAUCGAUUUGAUAAUUAUUUUUACUGUUAAUUUCUUAUGUUUUUGAUCUUUAUAUUACAAUGCAAUUCUGUGAUGCUAAUGCUUUUUUGUUUUACAUAUCGUGUAAUUUUGUUCACCAUUAAUAUUGAAGCGAUUAUCAUCAGUUAGUGCCUUUACGUAGCCUAUAUAUAUAUAUAUAUAUAUAUAUAUAUAUAUAUAUAUAUAUAUAUAUAUAUAUAUAUAUAUAUAUAUAUAUAUAUAUAUAUAUAUAUAUAUAUAUAUAUAUAUAUAUAUAUAUAUAUACAUACAUACAUAUACAUACAUACAUACAUACUGUGUGAUCUUUAACAUUAUCCCGGGUGAAACGACCCUAACAGCUUUCAUUUUGUAUUGUAUUUGAAGUGCUUUUAAGUAGUGUUAUUGAUCACUUAAAUGUUUUUGUUUUUCUUUACUUAAUUAGUUAGCGAUAAUUAGUAAAUUGUGUGAAGGCUAUAAUUUUUUCACAAGCUUAUAUGGACUACCUACUGUAUUAUACAAAGCUAUAAAGUUAGAAUGGUAAUACAAACAAGCAGUUGUGUGUACUGUAUCGGGAAGAUGUAAGACUCGAGUUAUUGAAUAUACAUCCACCUUAGUUAACCAUAUUUUUUAUGUAAUAAUAAUAAAACACUCGAGUAAG